AUUGAACGCUGGCGGCAGGCCUAACACAUGCAAGUCGAGCGGAUGAAGGGAGCUUGCUCCUGGAUUCAGCGGCGGACGGGUGAGUAAUGCCUAGGAAUCUGCCUGGUAGUGGGGGAUAACGUCCGGAAACGGGCGCUAAUACCGCAUACGUCCUGAGGGAGAAAGUGGGGGAUCUUCGGACCUCACGCUAUCAGAUGAGCCUAGGUCGGAUUAGCUAGUUGGUGGGGUAAAGGCCUACCAAGGCGACGAUCCGUAACUGGUCUGAGAGGAUGAUCAGUCACACGGGAACUGAGACACGGUCCAGACUCCUACGGGAGGCAGCAGUGGGGAAUAUUGGACGAUGGGCGAAAGCCUGAUCCAGCCAUGCCGCGUGUGUGAAGAAGGUCUUCGGAUUGUAAAGCACUUUAAGUUGGGAGGAAGGGCAGUAAGUUAAUACCUUGCUGUUUUGACGUUACCAACAGAAUAAGCACCGGCUAACUUCGUG
rnacentral:rRNA from 1 species